rnacentral:rRNA from 2 species
UGCUCCUGCAUGUUAGCGGCGGACGGGUGAGUAACACGUGGGUAACCUGCCUGUAAGACUGGGAUAACUCCGGGAAACCGGGGCUAAUACCGGAUGGUUGUUUGAACCGCAUGGUUCAAACAUAAAAGGUGGCUUCGGCUACCACUUACAGAUGGACCCGCGGCGCAUUAGCUAGUUGGUGAGGUAACGGCUCACCAAGGCAACGAUGCGUAGCCGACCUGAGAGGGUGAUCGGCCACACUGGGACUGAGACACGGCCCAGACUCCUACGGGAGGCAGCAGUAGGGAAUCUUCCGCAAUGGACGAAAGUCUGACGGAGCAACGCCGCGUGAGUGAUGAAGGUUUUCGGAUCGUAAAGCUCUGUUGUUAGGGAAGAACAAGUACCGUUCGAAUAGGGCGGUACCUUGACGGUACCUAACCAGAAAGCCACGGCUAACUACGUGCCAGCAGCCGCGGUAAUACGUAGGUGGCAAGCGUUGUCCGGAAUUAUUGGGCGUAAAGGGCUCGCAGGCGGUUUCUUAAGUCUGAUGUGAAAGCCCCCGGCUCAACCGGGGAGGGUCAUUGGAAACUGGGGAACUUGAGUGCAGAAGAGGAGAGUGGAAUUCCACGUGUAGCGGUGAAAUGCGUAGAGAUGUGGAGGAACACCAGUGGCGAAGGCGACUCUCUGGUCUGUAACUGACGCUGAGGAGCGAAAGCGUG